rnacentral:rRNA from 1 species
GGGUUGUGAGGUUAAGCGACUAAGCGUACACGGUGGAUGCCCUGGCAGUCAGAGGCGAUGAAGGACGUGCUAAUCUGCGAUAAGCGCCGGUAAGGUGAUAUGAACCGUUAUAACCGGCGAUUUCCGAAUGGGGAAACCCAGUGUGAUUCGUCACACUAUCAUUAACUGAAUCCAUAGGUUAAUGAGGCGAACCGGGGGAACUGAAACAUCUAAGUACCCCGAGGAAAAGAAAUCAACCGAGAUUCCCCCAGUAGCGGCGAGCGAACGGGGAGGAGCCCAGAGCCUGAAUCAGCAUGUGUGUUAGUGGAAGCGUCUGGAAAGGCGCGCGAUACAGGGUGACAGCCCCGUACACAAAAGCGCAUGUGCUGUGAGCUCGAUGAGUAGGGCGGGACACGUGGUAUCCUGUCUGAAUAUGGGGGGACCAUCCUCCAAGGCUAAAUACUCCUGACUGACCGAUAGUGAACCAGUACCGUGAGGGAAAGGCGAAAAGAACCCCGGCGAGGGGAGUGAAAAAGAACCUGAAACCGUGUACGUACAAGCAGUGGGAGCCCCACCACUAAGCCAGUGGUGAACUCCACAUACGCAUCCUUUGCUGAGGAUACGGUUAACGGAGCGAAAGCGACGUUCAACCUCAAAAGAAGCAGAGGGGGCUUAGUGGUGGGGUGACUGCGUACCUUUUGUAUAAUGGGUCAGCGACUUAUAUUCUGUAGCAAGGUUAACCGUAUAGGGGAGCCGGAGGGAAACCGAGUCUUAAUUGGGCGUUAAGUUGCAGGGUAUAGACCCGAAACCCGGUGAUCUAGCCAUGGGCAGGUUGAAGGUUGGGUAACACUAACUGGAGGACCGAACCGACUAAUGUUGAAAAAUUAGCGGAUGACCUGUGGCUGGGGGUGAAAGGCCAAUCAAACCGGGAGAUAGCUGGUUCUCCCCGAAAGCUAUUUAGGUAGCGCCUCGUGAAUUCAUCUUCGGGGGUAGAGCACUGUUUCGGCUAGGGGGUCAUCCCGACUUACCAACCCGAUGCAAACUGCGAAUACCGGAGAAUGUUAUCACGGGAGACACACGGCGGGUGCUAACGUCCGUCGUGAAGAGGGAAACAACCCAGACCGCCAGCUAAGGUCCCAAAGUCAUGGUUAAGUGGGAAACGAUGUGGGAAGGCCCAGACAGCCAGGAUGUUGGCUUAGAAGCAGCCAUCAUUUAAAGAAAGCGUAAUAGCUCACUGGUCGAGUCGGCCUGCGCGGAAGAUGUAACGGGGCUAAACCAUGCACCGAAGCUGCGGCAGCGAACGUAUCACUUAAAGCGAUUCAGCGGGUUACGAUUGACGGAGCGAAGCGACGUCAAAGCGUAUACAAAGUCGAGUCGGUUUAAGGAUACGUUCGUUGGGUAGGGGAGCGUUCUGUAAGCCUGCGAAGGUGGCCUGUGAGGGUUGCUGGAGGUAUCAGAAGUGCGAAUGCUGACAUAAGUAACGAUAAAGCGGGUGAAAAGCCCGCUCGCCGGAAGACCAAGGGUUCCUGUCCAACGUUAAUCGGGGCAGGGUGAGUCGACCCCUAAGGCGAGGCCGAAAGGCGUAGUCGAUGGGAAACGGGUUAAUAUUCCCGUACUUGGUGUUACUGCGAAGGGGGGACGGAGAAGGCUAUGUUGGCCGGGCGACGGUUGUCCCGGUUUAAGCGUGUAGGUGUGUGUUCCAGGUAAAUCCGGUUCACUUUAACACUGAGGCGUGACGACGAGGCACUACGGUGCUGAAGCAACAAAUGCCCUGCUUCCAGGAAAAGCCUCUAAGCAUCAGGUAACACGAAAUCGUACCCCAAACCGACACAGGUGGUCAGGUAGAGAAUACCAAGGCGCUUGAGAGAACUCGGGUGAAGGAACUAGGCAAAAUGGUGCCGUAACUUCGGGAGAAGGCACGCUGACACGUAGGUGAAGUGAUUUACUCACGGAGCUGAAGUCAGUCGAAGAUACCAGCUGGCUGCAACUGUUUAUUAAAAACACAGCACUGUGCAAACACGAAAGUGGACGUAUACGGUGUGACGCCUGCCCGGUGCCGGAAGGUUAAUUGAUGGGGUCAGCGCAAGCGAAGCUCCUGAUCGAAGCCCCGGUAAACGGCGGCCGUAACUAUAACGGUCCUAAGGUAGCGAAAUUCCUUGUCGGGUAAGUUCCGACCUGCACGAAUGGCGUAAUGAUGGCCAGGCUGUCUCCACCCGAGACUCAGUGAAAUUGAACUCGCUGUGAAGAUGCAGUGUACCCGCGGCAAGACGGAAAGACCCCGUGAACCUUUACUAUAGCUUGACACUGAACAUUGAGCCUUGAUGUGUAGGAUAGGUGGGAGGCUUUGAAGCGUGGACGCCAGUCUGCGUGGAGCCGACCUUGAAAUACCACCCUUUAAUGUUUGAUGUUCUAACGUGGACCCGUAAUCCGGGUUGCGGACAGUGUCUGGUGGGUAGUUUGACUGGGGCGGUCUCCUCCUAAAGAGUAACGGAGGAGCACGAAGGUUGGCUAAUCCUGGUCGGACAUCAGGAGGUUAGUGCAAUGGCAUAAGCCAGCUUGACUGCGAGCGUGACGGCGCGAGCAGGUGCGAAAGCAGGUCAUAGUGAUCCGGUGGUUCUGAAUGGAAGGGCCAUCGCUCAACGGAUAAAAGGUACUCCGGGGAUAACAGGCUGAUACCGCCCAAGAGUUCAUAUCGACGGCGGUGUUUGGCACCUCGAUGUCGGCUCAUCACAUCCUGGGGCUGAAGUAGGUCCCAAGGGUAUGGCUGUUCGCCAUUUAAAGUGGUACGCGAGCUGGGUUUAGAACGUCGUGAGACAGUUCGGUCCCUAUCUGCCGUGGGCGCUGGAGAACUGAGGGGGGCUGCUCCUAGUACGAGAGGACCGGAGUGGACGCAUCACUGGUGUUCGGGUUGUCAUGCCAAUGGCACUGCCCGGUAGCUAAAUGCGGAAGAGAUAAGUGCUGAAAGCAUCUAAGCACGAAACUUGCCCCGAGAUGAGUUCUCCCUGAGACUUAGAGUCUCCUGAAGGAACGUUGAAGACGACGACGUUGAUAGGCCGGGUGUGUAAGCGCAGCGAUGCGUUGAGCUAACCGGUACUAAUGAACCGUGAGGCUUAACCUUACAACGCCGAAGCUGUU